AUGGUGAUAAUUUGUGUUGGUGAUUCUUGGCCUAUGUGGAGGGCAUUUGUGAGAGGAAUGGAUUAGUGGGUGUUGUAGAGGAUGACAUAGAGGGUGUUCAUUCUUAAAGAUUCUUGGGGAAGAAUGGUGAAGAAUGGGGGAAUGGUGGGUCCUUUCGUUUUUUAUUUAGUGUAAAUUUAAUAAAAUAAUUAUAAUAAGGUUGUUUGUGGGAAGGAUAUAUAUGUUAUUGUUGUGGGUAAAAAGUGUUUGUGGGAAGAAUAAAUGAAAAGCUGAUGUGGCAUGCUGAUUAGGCUGUUUGUAGAAAGGAUAGCCUUUCACUGAUGCGGAU
rnacentral:lncRNA from 1 species